rnacentral:rRNA from 1 species
AGAGUUUGAUCAUGGCUCAGCCUGAACGCUGGCGGCGUGGCUAAGACAUGCAAGUCGCACGGUGUAGCAAUACACAGUGGCGAACGGGAGAGUAAUGAAUCGCUAACGUACCCCGGACUCUGGGAUAGCUGCCCGAAAGGGCAGGUAAUACCAGAUGAUAUAUUCCCUUGGCAUCUUGGGAAUCUCAAAGGUCCGCCGGUCUGGGAGCGGGCGAUUUCGUAUCAGCUAGUUGGUGAGGUAACGGCUCACCAAGGCGACGACGCGUAGCCGGACUGAGAGGUUGGCCGGCCUCAUUGGGACUGAGACACUGCCCAGACUCCUACGGGGGGCUGCAGUAACGAAUCUUCCGCAAUGCACGAAAGUGUGACGGAGCGACGCCGCGUGUGGGAUGAAGUCCUUCGGGAUGUAAACCACUGUCAGGGGUUAGAAAGUUCUGAUCAACCCCAGAGGAAGAGGCGGCUAACUCUGUGCCAGCAGCCGCGGUAAUACAGAGGCCUCGAGCGUUAGGCGGAAUCACUGGGCUUAAAGCGUGUGUAGGCGGAUUGCUAAGUACCUUGUGAAAUCCCACGGCUUAACCGUGGAACUGCUUGGUAUACUGGCUGUCUUGAGCCACUUAGGGGCGACCGGAACAAACGGUGGAGCGGUGAAAUGCGUAGAUAUCGUUUGGAACGCCAAAGGUGAAAACAGGUCGCUGGGAGUGUGCUGACGCUGAGACACGAAAGCCAGGGGAGCAAACGGGAUUAGAUACCCUAGUAGUCC